rnacentral:rRNA from 1 species
AGGAUGAACGCUGGCGGUGUGCCUAAUACAUGCAAGUCGAACGAACCUUUAUUUUUGAGAAUUCCCUUAGGGGGCGUCUCAUAAAUAAUGGUUAGUGGCGGACGGGUGAGUAACACGUUAGUACCUGCCCUUUAGUGGGGAAUAACUCGGCGAAAGUCGAGCUAAUACCGCAUGUGCCCGUUUACGGGGAAGCAGUAAUGCGCUAAAGGAGGGGCUCGCGGCCUAUCAGCUUGUUGGUGGGGUAAUGGCCUACCAAGGCGACGACGGGUAGCUGGU